UUACAAGAAUGCCCCUAAUGGCAAACUUGUAAAUAAAUGAACAACCUAAUUAAUAUCUAGAUAUUUUCUCUACUUAAACUUGGUGCCCAAGUUAAUCCAUCAUCUUCUCCAUUUUGUAGGUGCCGAAUACACCAUAGCUCCCAACACAAAACUUUAUACUUACAAUUUCUCUCAAAACUUUCUUCACGAAAAUUGUCGGGAAUAUUGCGUAGAUCGUGUAGGUGUAUUUGCAUGUUGAAUCAAGAUCCAGCGAGUUUUGUCGCGGAAACCGGCGAGCAAAGGUUUUGAUAUUCGACGGGUGGUAUUUUUAUAUUUGGAAUAAGCGAGUACUGUGAGUGUGUUUACAACUUAUACUGCUAAAUAUUAGUAUUAAAAAUAUUGCGAACUGCUUUA